rnacentral:rRNA from 1 species
CUAAGGAAUAUUCCGCAAUGGAGGAAACUCUGACGGAGCGACGCCGCGUGGAUGAUGAAGGUCGGAAGAUUGUAAAAUCCUUUUAUGACUGAGGAAUAAGCCGGGUGAGAGAAACGCCUGGUGGUGACUGUAGGUCAUGAAUAAGCAACGGCUAAUUACGUGCCAGCAGCCGCGGUAAAACGUAGGUCACAAGCGUUGUCCGGAAUUACUGGGUGUAAAGGGAGCGCAGGCGGGAAGACAAGUUGGAAGUGAAAUCCAUGGGCUCAACCCAUGAACUGCUUUCAAAACUGUUUUUCUUGAGUAGUGCAGAGGUAGGCGGAAUUCCCGGUGUAGCGGUGGAAUGCGUAGAUAUCGGGAGGAACACCAGUGGCGAAGGCGGCCUACUGGGCACCAACUGACGCUGAGGCUCGAAAGUGUGGGUAGCAAACAGGAUUAGAUACCCUGGUAGU